rnacentral:rRNA from 1 species
UACGAAGGGGGCUAGCGUUGUUCGGAAUUACUGGGCGUAAAGCGCGCGCAGGCGGUUUUUCAAGUCAGUGGUGAAAGCCCGGAGCUCAACUCCGGAACUGCCCAUUGAAACUGUGAAAACUUGAGGAUGAGAGAGGUGAGUGGAAAUUCCAGUGUAGAGGUGAAAAUUCGUAGAUAUUGCAAGAACACCAGUGGCGAAGGCGGCUCACUGGCCCGGUACUGACGCUGAGGUGCGAAAAGCGUGGGGGAGCAAACAGGAUUAAG